rnacentral:rRNA from 1 species
GAACUUAAGCAUAUCAAUAAGCGGAGGAAAAGAAACCAACAGGGAUUACCUCAGUAACGGCGAGUGAAGCGGUAACAGCUCAAAUUUGAAAGCUGCCAACAGGCCGCGUUGUAAUUUGUAGAAGCUGCUUUGGGUGUCGGCCCGGUCUAAGUUCCUUGGAACAGGACGUCAUAGAGGGUGAGAAUCCCGUAUGUGAUCGGUGCCGUUGCCCGUGUAAAGCGCUUUCGACGAGUCGAGUUGUUUGGGAAUGCAGCUCAAAAUGGGUGGUAAAUUUCAUCUAAAGCUAAAUAUUGGCCAGAGACCGAUAGCGCACAAGUAGAGUGAUCGAAAGAUGAAAAGCACUUUGGAAAGAGAGUUAAACAGUACGUGAAAUUGUUGAAAGGGAAGCGCUUGCAACCAGACUUGCGGGCGGUCGAUCAUCCGAGGUUCUCCCCGGUGCACUCGAUCGUUCUCAGGCCAGCAUCGGUUUCCGGGGUGGGAUAAAGGCGGUGGGAAUGUGGCUCUUCGGAGUGUUAUAGCCCACUGUGCAAUGCCGCCACUGGGGACCGAGGACCGCGCUUCGGCUAGGAUGCUGGCGUAAUGGUUGUAAGCGACCCGUCUUGAAACACGGACCAAGGAGUCUAACAUCUAUGCGAGUGUUUGGGUGUCAAACCCAUACGCGUAAUGAAAGUGAACGGAGGUAAGAGCCCUUUAGGGUGCAUUAUCGACCGAUCCUGAUGUCUUCGGAUGGAUUUGAGUAAGAGCAUAGCUGUUGGGACCCGAAA